GGUAGUCCACGCCGUAAACGAUGUCGACUUGGAGGUUGUGCCCUUGAGGCGUGGCUUCCGGAGCUAACGCGUUAAGUCGACCGCCUGGGGAGUACGGCCGCAAGGUUAAAACUCAAAUGAAUUGACGGGGGCCCGCACAAGCGGUGGAGCAUGUGGUUUAAUUCGAUGCAACGCGAAGAACCUUACCUACUCUUGACAUCCAGAGAACUUAGCAGAGAUGCUUUGGUGCCUUCGGGAACUCUGAGACAGGUGCUGCAUGGCUGUCGUCAGCUCGUGUUGUGAAAUGUUGGGUUAAGUCCCGCAACGAGCGCAACCCUUAUCCUUUGUUGCCAGCGGUUAGGCCGGGAACUCAAAGGAGACUGCCAGUGAUAAACUGGAGGAAGGUGGGGAUGACGUCAAGUCAUCAUGGCCCUUACGAGUAGGGCUACACACGUGCUACAAUGGCGCAUACAAAGAGAAGCGACCCCGUGAGAGCAAGCGGACCUCAUAAAGUGCGUCGUAGUCCGGAUUGGAGUCUGCAACUCGACUCCAUGAAGUCGGAAUCGCUAGUAAUCGUAGAUCAGAAUGCUACGGUGAAUACGUUCCCGGGCCUUGUACACACCGCCCGUCACACCAUGGGAGUGGGUUGCAAAAGAAGUAGGUAGCUUAACCUUCGGGAGGGCGCUUACCACUUUGUGAUUCAUGACUGGGGUGAAGUCGUAACAAGGUAACCGUAGGGGAACCUGC
rnacentral:rRNA from 1 species